rnacentral:rRNA from 1 species
GCUGGCGGCGUGCUUAACACAUGCAAGUCGAACGAUGAAGCCUAGCUUGCUAGGUGGAUUAGUGGCGCACGGGUGAGUAAUAUAUAGAUAACGUGCCUCUUAGUCUGGGAUAGCCAUUGGAAACGAUGAUUAAUACUAGAUACUCCUUCUCUAUCAAAUUAGAGUCGGGAAAGUUUUUCGCUAAGAGAUCGGUCUAUAUCCCAUCAGCUAGUUGGUAGUGUAAGAGACUACCAAGGCAAUGACGGGUAGCGGGUUUGAGAGGAUGAUCCGCCACACUGGUACUGAGACACGGACCAGACUCCUACGGGAGGCAGCAGUGAGGAAUAUUGCACAAUGGAGGAAACUCUGAUGCAGCAACGCCGCGUGGAGGAUGACGCAUUUCGGUGUGUAAACUCCUUUUAUAUGUCAAGAAAAUGACGGUAGCAUAUGAAUAAGCACCGGCUAACUCCGUGCCAGCAGCCGCGGUAAUACGGAGGGUGCAAGCGUUAUUCGGAAUCACUGGGCGUAAAGGACGCGUAGGCGGGAUGCCAAGUCUGAUGUGAAAUCCUAUGGCUUAACCAUAGAACUGCAUUGGAAACUGGUAACCUAGAGUAUGGGAGGGGGAGAUGGAAUUAGUGGUGUAGGGGUAAAAUCCGUAGAUAUCACUAGGAAUACCGAAAGCGAAGGCGAUCUCCUGGAACAAUACUGACGCUAAGGCGUGAAAGCGUGGGGAGCAAACGGGAUUAGAUACCCCGGUAGUCCACGCCCUAAACGAUGUUCACUAGUCGUCGGGAUGCUAGUCAUCUCGGUGAUGCACUUAACAGAUUAAGUGAACCGCCUGGGGAGUAC